UACGUAGGGCGCGAGCGUUGUCCGGAUUUACUGGGCGUAAAGAGCGCGCAGGCGGUCGUCCAAGUCGCGUGUGAAAGCCCCCGGCUCAACUGGGGAGGGUCACGCGAUACUGGUCGACUCGAAGGCAGGAGAGGGUAGUGGAAUUCCCGGUGUAGUGGUGAAAUGCGUAGAUAUCGGGAGGAACACCAGUGGCGAAGGCGACUACCUGGCCUGUUCUUGACGCUGAGGCGCGAAAGCUAGGGGAGCAAACGGG
rnacentral:rRNA from 1 species